rnacentral:tRNA from 1 species
GGCCUGCAGGUUCGUCAAUUCCCGAGCACUCGCCUUCUAAGCGAGCGGUCAGAGGUUCGAGUCCUCUAGCAGGCCG